rnacentral:rRNA from 1 species
GGCGUGUAGGCGGUCUUUCAAGUCCGAUGCUAAAGACUGGGGCUCAACCCCAGGGGUGCGUUGGAUACUGUGAGGCUAGACGGUCGGAGGGGGUAGCGGAAUUUCCGGAGUAGCGGUGAAAUGCGCAGAUACCGGAAGGAACGCCAAUAGCGAAGGCAGCUACCUGGACGACUUGUGACGCUGAGGCGCGAAAGCGUGGGGAGCAAACCGGAUUAGAUACCCGGGUAGUCCACGCCCUAAACCAUGAGUGCUGGGUGUCCGGCUUCUGCUGGGUGCCGUAGCUAACGCGCUAAGCACUCCGCCUGGGAAGUACGCACGCAAGUGUGAAACUCAAAGGAAUUGACGGGGGCCCGCACAAGCGGUGGAGCAUGUGGUUUAAUUCGAAGCGACGCGAAGAACCUUACCAGGCCUUGACAUGCCCGGAACCCCUCUGAAAGGAGGGGGUGCCCGCAAGGGAGCCGGGACACAGGUGCUGCAUGGCCGUCGUCAGCUCGUGUCGUGAGAUGUUGGGUUAAGUCCCGCAACGAGCGCAACCCCUAUCCCUAGUUGCCAGCAGUUCGGCUGGGCACUCUAUGGAGACUGCCUGCGAAAGCAGGAGGAAGGCGGGGAUGACGUCUGGUCCGCAUGGCCCUUACGGCCUGGGCGACACACGUGCUACAAUGCCAAGGACAGAGCGCUGCUACCUCGCGAGAGGACGCCAAUCGCAAAAACCUUGGCUCAGUUCGGAUUGGAGUCUGCAACUCGACUCCAUGAAGCCG